UAGGGAAUCUUCCACAAUGGACGCAAGUCUGAUGGAGCAACGCCGCGUGAGUGAAGAAGGUUUUCGGACCGUAAAGCUCUGUUGUUGGUGAAGAAGGAUAGAGGUAGUAACUGGCCUUUAUUUGACGGUAAUCAACCAGAAAGUCACGGCUAACUACGUGCCAGCAGCCGCGGUAAUACGUAGGUGGCAAGCGUUGUCCGGAUUUAUUGGGCGUAAAGCGAGCGCAGGCGGAAGAAUAAGUCUGAUGUGAAAGCCCUCGGCUUAACCGAGGAAUUGCAUCGGAAACUGUUUUCUUGAGUGCAGAAGAGGAGAGUAGAACUCCAUGUGUAGCGGUGGAAUGCGUAGAUAUAUGGAAGAAUACCAGUGGCGAAGGCGGCUCUCUGGUCUGCAACUGACGCUGAGGCUCGAAAGCAUGGGUAGCGAACAGGAUUAGAUACCCUGGUAGUCCAUGCCGUAAACGAUGAGUGCUAAGUGUUGGGAGGCUUCCGCCUCUCAGUGCUGCAGCUACCGCAUUAAGCACUCCGCCUGGGGGAGUACGACCGCAAGGUUGAAAC
rnacentral:rRNA from 1 species